rnacentral:rRNA from 1 species
CGCCAGACUCCUACGGGAGGCAGCAGUGGGGGAUAUUGCACAAUGGGGGAAACCUGAUGCAGCGACGCCGCGUGGGCGAAGAAGUAUUUCGGUAUGUAAAGCCCUAUCAGCAGGGAAGAAGAAAUGACGGUACCUGAGUAAGAAGCCCCGGCUAACUACGUGCCAGCAACCGCGGUAAUACGUAGGGGGCAAGCGUUAUCCGGAUUUACUGGGUGUAAAGGGGGCGCAGACGGCAGCGCAAGCCAGGAGUGAAAGCCCGGGGCCCAACCCCGGGACUGCUCUUGGAACUGCGCGGCUGGAGUGCAGGAGGGGCAGGCGGAAUUCCUGGUGUAGCGGUGAAAUGCGUAGAUAUCAGGAGGAACACCGGUGGCGAAGGCGGCCUGCUGGACUGCGACUGACGUUGAGGCCCGAAAGCGUGGGGAGCAAACAGGAUUAGAUACCCCCGUA